UACGUAGGCAGCGAGCGUUGUUCGGAGUUACUGGGCGUAAAGAGUGUGUAGCGGUGUCGUAAGUUCGGUGUGAAAUCUCCCGGCUUAACUGGGAGGGUGCGCCGGAAACUGCGAGACUUGAGUACGGAGAGGGAAGCGGAAUUCCGUGGUGUAGCGGUGAAAUGCGUAGAUAAUCUGGAGGAACACCGGUGGCGAAGGCGGCAAUCCUGGACCGGCAUUGACGCGUGA
rnacentral:rRNA from 1 species